GAUGAACGCUGGCGGCGUGCCUAAUACAUGCAAGUCGAGCGAACAGACGAGGAGCUUGCUCCUCUGACGUUAGCGGCGGACGGGUGAGUAACACGUGGAUAACCUACCUAUAAGACUGGGAUAACUUCGGGAAACCGGAGCUAAUACCGGAUAAUAUAUUGAACCGCAUGGUUCAAUAGUGAAAGACGGUUUUGCUGUCACUUAUAGAUGGAUCCGCGCCGCAUUAGCUAGUUGGUAAGGUAACGGCUUACCAAGGCAACGAUGCGUAGCCGACAUGGGAGGGUGGACGCAGACAAUGGUCCUGAGAGAAGGCACAGACGGCGAUGGGAGGCAGUAGGGGGAAAUAUUGCAGAAUGAGCGGAAGCCUGAUGUAGAGAGGACGCGAGAGGGAUGAUGUGUUAUGGGUUGUAAACCUAUUUCAGAAGAGACGAAGCGUAAGUGACGGUACCUGCAGAGGAAGCACAGGCUAACUACGGG
rnacentral:rRNA from 1 species